rnacentral:rRNA from 2 species
CGUACGCACUGGCCCAACUGAUUGAUGGUGCUUGCACCUGAUUGACGAUGGAUCACCAGUGAGUGGCGGACGGGUGAGUAACACGUAGGUAACCUGCCCCGGAGCGGGGGAUAACAUUUGGAAACAGAUGCUAAUACCGCAUAACAACAAAAGCCACAUGGCUUUUGUUUGAAAGAUGGCUUUGGCUAUCACUCUGGGAUGGACCUGCGGUGCAUUAGCUAGUUGGUAAGGUAACGGCUUACCAAGGCGAUGAUGCAUAGCCGAGUUGAGAGACUGAUCGGCCACAAUGGAACUGAGACACGGUCCAUACUCCUACGGGAGGCAGCAGUAGGGAAUCUUCCACAAUGGGCGCAAGCCUGAUGGAGCAACACCGCGUGAGUGAAGAAGGGUUUCGGCUCGUAAAGCUCUGUUGUUGGAGAAGAACGUGCGUGAGAGUAACUGUUCACGCAGUGACGGUAUCCAACCAGAAAGUCACGGCUAACUACGUGCCAGCAGCCGCGGUAAUACGUAGGUGGCAAGCGUUAUCCGGAUUUAUUGGGCGUAAAGCGAGCGCAGGCGGUUGCUUAGGUCUGAUGUGAAAGCCUUCGGCUUAACCGAAGAAGUGCAUCGGAAACCGGGCGACUUGAGUGCAGAAGAGGACAGUGGAACUCCAUGUGUAGCGGUGGAAUGCGUAGAUAUAUGGAAGAACACCAGUGGCGAAGGCGGCUGUCUGGUCUGCAACUGACGCUGAGGCUCGAAAGCAUGGGUAGCGAACAGGAUUAGAUACCCUGGUAGUCCAUGCCGUAAACGAUGAGUGCUAGGUGUUGGAGGGUUUCCGCCCUUCAGUGCCGGAGCUAACGCAUUAAGCACUCCGCCUGGGGAGUACGACCGCAAGGUUGAAACUCAAAGGAAUUGACGGGGGCCCGCACAAGCGGUGGAGCAUGUGGUUUAAUUCGAAGCUACGCGAAGAACCUUACCAGGUCUUGACAUCUUGCGCUAACCUUAGAGAUAAGGCGUUCCCUUCGGGGACGCAAUGACAGGUGGUGCAUGGUCGUCGUCAGCUCGUGUCGUGAGAUGUUGGGUUAAGUCCCGCAACGAGCGCAACCCUUGUUACUAGUUGCCAGCAUUAAGUUGGGCACUCUAGUGAGACUGCCGGUGACAAACCGGAGGAAGGUGGGGACGACGUCAGAUCAUCAUGCCCCUUAUGACCUGGGCUACACACGUGCUACAAUGGACGGUACAACGAGUCGCAAGCUCGCGAGAGUAAGCUAAUCUCUUAAAGCCGUUCUCAGUUCGGACUGUAGGCUGCAACUCGCCUACACGAAGUCGGAAUCGCUAGUAAUCGCGGAUCAGCAUGCCGCGGUGAAUACGUUCCCGGGCCUUGUACACACCGCCCGUCACACCAUGGGAGUUUGUAACGCCCAAAGUCGGUGGCCUAACCU